UAAAAACUAGUUAAAUCUAUAACAAAAGAAUGUCAUUCUUUAAUUACUAAAAAGUGUUUUUAA
rnacentral:tRNA from 1 species